rnacentral:rRNA from 1 species
UACGGGGGGGGCAAGCGUUGUUCGGAAUUACUGGGCGUAAAGGGCUCGUAGGCGGCCAACUAAGUCAGACGUGAAAUCCCUCGGCUUAACCGGGGAACUGCAUCUGAUACUGGAUGGCUCGAGUUUGGGAGAGGGAUGCGGAAUUCCAGGUGUAGCGGUGAAAUGCGUAGAUAUCUGGAGGAACACCGGUGGCGAAGGCGGCAUCCUGGUCCAACACUGACGCUGAUGAGCGAAAGCCAGGGGAGCAAACGGG